AUGGAGUCUGUGCUGAGAUAUUUGGACUGGACUUCAGUGGGCUUGGCCCUGCUGGGUGGUCUGCUCUCUCUGCUUCUGCUAGAGAUCUUCAGGUUGAACUCCUCCAGGAGCCGCUACCCUCCCGGACCCAAACCGUUGCUCUUUGUUGGUAACCUGCCACAGCUCAUAAACACCCCAAUGGAACUCUUCAGAUCGAUGACAAAAUAUGGGGAGAUCUGUUCCAUGUACCUAGGCAGGCAGCCAGUAAUAGUGUUGAAUAACCUGCAGAUAACGAAGGAAGCUUUUGUUCAGAAUGGGGCCGUGUUUUCUGGAAGGCCGGCCAUGCCAGUGAUCGACUGGAUUACCAAUGGGUUUGGUAUCCUGGCAGCCACAUAUGGUCAUUCUUGGAAACAGCAGCGCCGCUUUGCUCUGCACACUCUGCGCAACUUUGGUCUGGGGAAGAAAACAGUGGAGGAGCGCGUGGCCGAGGAGGCUCAAUACCUCAUAAAAGAGAUGCUCAAGCAGGAAGGGAAGCCUUUUUACCCCAUCCACGUAAUUAUGAAUGCAGUCUCCAACAUCAUCUGCUCUGUCGUGUUUGGGGACCGCUUUGAGUAUGACGACAAGCAAUUUGCUAAGUUGCUGGAAUUUCUCAAUGAAAACCUUCGCCUUCUUGGAUCAACUGCAGGACAGAUCUUCAACCUGUUCCCCUUCAUAAAGCACUUCCCAGGACCACACCAUAAGGUGUGGCAGAAUGCCAACUCCUUAAAAGAGUUCAUCCGUGAGGCCGUGGAGGAGCACAGGAAGUCUCUGGACCCAGAACACCUUCGAGAUUUCAUUGAUGCCUACCUUGUGGAGAUGACCAAGCAAGUGUCAAAAGAAGACUCUUCAUUCCAUGAGGAUAACAUGAUCAUGUCCACUGCUGACCUUUUCCUCGCUGGAACGGACACCACAGCCACAACUCUCAGAUGGGGCCUCAUUUACAUGAUGGACCACCCUGAUGUGCAAGAGCGCUGUCAUGAGGAGAUCAUUCAGGUGUUGGGUUUUGACCGUUCUCCCUGCAUGGAUGACCGCACACAGCUGCCAUAUACUUAUGCCACCAUCCACGAGAUCCAGCGCUGUUCCACCAUUGUCCCCACCGUGUUGCAUGACAUUACACAGCCAACACAGCUCCGGGGAUACAACCUCCCAAAGGGAGCAAUGGUGAUGUGCAAUUUAAUGGCCAUCAUGACUGACAAAAACCACUGGAAGUACCCAAACACGUUCAACCCAGAGAACUUUCUGGAUGAAAAAGGACAGUUCUGCAAAAAUGACUUCUUUGUGCCGUUCUUUCUGGGUCCGAGAGCAUGUCUGGGUGAGACUCUGGCGAGAACUGAGCUCUUCAUCUUCUUCACCUCUCUGCUUCAGCAGCUGAAGUUCUCGUGGCCUCCUGGAGCUCCACGCCCAAACAUGGAUGGCAUCUUGGGCAUCGUCCGCUCUCCAUGUCCCUUCAAUACAAUCUGCCUCAGCAGAGAGACCACUCACUGAAUCCUGUUCAGCCUUUACACCAUAAAUACACGAUUUUAAUUCUGGAUUUAACUCAACUCAACAAAAACACAUUAUCAACUCUUACUUUGUACCAUCACUAACCUGAGAUAAAUGUCAGAGAGAGCCAGACACAACCUAACAAACAAUCUGACCUAUCUGUAUGAAAGGCCUCAACAUGGCCAAUUUCACACAUUUACUUAAAUUUGAAAAGUGAUCUUGAAAUAGCGCAAAAUUUAUUAAUUUUAAUAAUUUUUUUGUUUUAAAUGUUUCAAAACUGCACAACUUUCUGUAUUGUAAAACUGUAUACAUAUGUGUGUGUGUGUGUGUGUGUGUGUGUGUGUGUGUGUAUGUGUGUGUGUG